GGCCCUGUGGUGUAAUGGUUCGCACUCGCCCCUCAUAAGGGUUGCGGUAACAGUUCAAAUCUGUUCGGGGCUACCA
rnacentral:tRNA from 1 species